GACGAACGCUGGCGGCGGGCCUAACACAUGCAAGUCGAGCGGGGCAUAGCGAUAUGUUCAGCGGCGGACGGGUGAGCAACACGUGAGGAACCUGCCCUUCAGAGGGGAACAACACCGGGAAACCGGUGCUAAUACCGCAUGACGUCCCGAGGAGACAUCUUUUCGGGACCAAAGGAGAGAUCCGCUGAGGGAUGGCCUCGCGUCCGAUUAGCUGGUUGGCGGGGUAACGGCCCACCAAGGCUUCGAUCGGUAGCCGAACUGAGAGGUUGAUCGGCCACAUUGGGACUGAGACACGGCCCAGACUCCUACGGGAGGCAGCAGUGGGGAAUAUUGGGCAAUGGGGGGAACCCUGACCCAGCAACGCCGCGUGAAGGAUGAAGGCCUUCGGGUUGUAAACUUCUUUGACCGGGGACGAAAUCGAUGACGGUACCCGGAAAACAAGCCACGGCUAACUACGUG
rnacentral:rRNA from 1 species